rnacentral:rRNA from 1 species
UACAGAGGGUGCGAGCGUUAAUCGGAAUUACUGGGCGUAAAGCGUGCGUAGACGGUUAUGUAAGUCAGGUGUGAAAGCCCCGGGCUCAACCUGGGAAUUGCAUUUGAGACUGCAUAGCUAGGGUGCGGAAGAGGGAAGCGGAAUUUCCGGUGUAGCGGUGAAAUGCGUAGAUAUCGGAAGGAACAUCAGUGGCGAAAGCGGCUUCCUGGUCCAGCACCGACGUCAGGCACGAAAGCGUGGGGAGCAAACAGG